UACAGAGGUCUCAAGCGUUGUUCGGAUUCAUUGGGCGUAAAGCGUCCGUAGGUGGCUCUUCAAGUCUGCUGUCAAAGAGUGGGGCUUAACCUUGCCAAGGCAGUGGAAACUGAAAGGCUAGAAAGCCGUAGGGGUAGAGGGAAUUCCCGGUGUAGCGGUGAAAUGCGUAGAGAUCGGGAAGAACAUCGGUGGCGAAAGCGCUCUACUGGACGGUAUCUGACACUGAGGGACGAAAGCUAGGGGAGCGAAUGGG
rnacentral:rRNA from 1 species